rnacentral:rRNA from 1 species
AUCGAACGCUGGCGGCAGGCCUAACACAUGCAAGUCGAGCGGAGCGGCGGACGGGGGAGUAAUGCCUAGGAAUCUGCCUGGUAGUGGGGGAUAACGUCCGGAAACGGGCGCUAAUACCGCAUACUAUCAGAUGAGCCUAGGUCGGAUUAGCUAGUUGGUGGGGGAAAGGCCUACCAAGGCGACGAUCCGUAACUGGUCUGAGAGGAUGAUCAGUCACACGGGAACUUAGACACGGUCCAGACUCCUACUGGAGGCAGCAGUGGGGAAUAUUGGACAAUGGGCGAAAGCCUGAUCCAGCCAUGCCGCGUGUGUGAAGAAGGUCUUCGGAUUGUAAAGCACUUUAAGUUGGUAUGCGUUACCAACUGAAUAAGCACCGGCUAACUGCGUGCCAGCAGCCGCGGUAGUUC